GAUGAACGCUGGCGGCGUGCCUAAUACAUGCAAGUCGAGCGAAUGGACUAAGAGCUUGCUCUUAUGAAGUUAGCGGCGGACGGGUGAGUAACACGUGGGUAACCUGCCCAUAAGACUGGGAUAACUCCGGGAAACCGGGGCUGAUACCGGAUAACAUUUUGAACCGCAUGGUUCGAAAUUGAAAGGCGGCUUCGGCUGUCACUUAUGGAUGGACCCGCGUCGCAUUAGCUAGUUGGUGAGGUAACGGCUCACCAAGGCAACGAUGCGUAGCCGACCUGAGAGGGUGAUCGGCCACACGGGGACUGAGACACGGCCCAGACUCCUACGGGAGGCAGCAGUAGGGAAUCUUCCGCAAUGGACGAAAGUCUGACGGAGCAACGCCGCGUGAGUGAUGAAGGCUUUCGGGUCGUAAAACUCUGUUGUUAGGGAAGAACAAGUGCUAGUUGAAUAAGCUGGCACCUUGACGGUACCUAACCAGAAAGCCACGGCCAACUACGUGCCAGCCGCCGCGGUAA
rnacentral:rRNA from 1 species